rnacentral:rRNA from 1 species
AUCGUCCUACGGGGCGCAGCAGUGGGGAAUAUUGCACAAUGGGCGCAAGCCUGAUGCAGCGACGCCGCGUGCGGGAUGGAGGCCUUCGGGUUGUAAACCGCUUUUGUUCAAGGGCAAGGCACGGUCUUUGGCCGUGUUGAGUGGAUUGUUCGAAUAAGCACUGGCUAACUACGUGCCAGCAGCCGCGGUAAUACGUAGGGUGCAAGCGUUAUCCGGAUUUAUUGGGCGUAAAGGGCUCGUAGGCGGUUCGUCGCGUCCGGCGUGAAAGUCCAUCGCUUAACGGUGGAUCGGCGCCGGGCACGGGG